UACAUGGGGUGCAAACGUUGCUCGGAAUCAUUGGGCGUAAAGCGCGCGUAGGCGGUUACUUAAGUCGAAUGUGAAAGCCCUCGGCUUAACCGAGGAAGUGCAUCCGAAACUGAGUAGCUAGAGUACGAAAGAGGGUCGCGGAAUUCCCGGUGUAGAGGUGAAAUUCGUAGAUAUCGGGAGGAACACCGGUGGCGAAGGCGGCGACCUGGGUCGAGACUGACGCUGAGGCGCGAAGGUCAGGGGAGCAAACGGG
rnacentral:rRNA from 1 species